CAUAUCUUCUUUGCCUGCAGAUGUGUCUUCAUCAGGGAAGUGUUCGGAGAACUCACAGGCUUCUUUCCUCUGACACAGGGAUGGACGCAGAGGGAAACAGUUUAGUUGGUUCAGGUAGCUUUGUGGCAGCCAGACCUGAGUGAAGAGGAUACACCAGACCUUCCACGGAAGGUGCAGAAGUGCUCACAGCUGGAGAAGGCAAACACCGCUCUUUUCACAUCCCUUGGGUAGUCUGCUGCGCUAAGUUUUGCUAAGAGGCACACCAUUUCCCACUCCCUGCAUCACCAUGUGAUCGGCAAGGGAAGCAGCAAGCAGCCUGCGAAAUGGCCGAACUACACUGCAGUCACAGCCAUGAUUGCAACUCACACAAAGGCACCUGGAUUUAGCUUGCAUGCCUUUGUCAGCAAAGUCACAGAAACACAAUACAGUUCAGCGCUGGAUGCAAGAUGUGCCCAGGAAGCUGAGGGGUUGCUGUGGUGUCAUGAUGGCAUUGCUAAAAGCAACCAAAUGCACUGUAGCUACACUGUAGUGGCUAUUUUCAGAGGCAAUGCACAGGAGUACAAGCCAACAGAAAGAAAAAGACCAGAAUGUUUUGCACACAGAACCUUUAACAACAGGGCCAAAAAACAUUUUACAUUUCCUUUAAGAAAAAAAAAAGCACAGACAAUAGUAUAUUGAAAGAAGAUUUGAUUCAGGAAAGUUGUUUUGAAGUAAUCUGGAUUAGAGACCCUUUAACAUGGGGAACCUGAAAGACACCAUCAAACCCUGCGUAAAAUUUGCCCCACUUGUUCUUGUCUGAACAGGCAUGAGGGAGAACGAAAUCCAACAGAUGGGGCAAUUAAGUGAAAGAGAUCGAUCUCAGUCACAUGUGGGAGUGCCACACACAUGACAGUGAGAACCUGGGCAUAUGAACUGGUUGGACACUUUUUUGCUUCUGUUUAGCAGAUGUUGUCAAAAACCAGGAAACACCCAAUGCACAGCUUAUGUUUGACAACGAUAUGGCACUAGUGUAUUUUCUUUCCACAUUAAAAUAUAUGUAGCCUUGCAGGACGAAAGCUAAUUGCUACACAACUCUGCCUCUCCCCCUGCAUCCCCGUAUUUCUGUUCACAGCAGGAGAAGAGAUCCUUCAGCUUUAUUUUGACUCUCUCCCUGCCCAUGGGCACAGCCACACUGCGAUUUCCAUGCAUUGUGCAACGAAAAAUGGGUUGGUUUGCCUAGCAGCAGUCUAACUGCAAAGGCACAGAGCUCACCUAGGCUUAUUUUGUUUCUUUGCAAAAUGAAUGGUCUGCCAUACCACAAUCUAGUGUGCAGAUGCACCACCCUUUGCUGUAUUGCAACAGAGAUGAUUCUAGAAUUUAUUCAAGGUCUACCACACCAAGAGCAUAAGAGGACACCACACUGUUACCUUCUGACAUAAAAUAAGGGAUCCUGAACCUUCCUUCAAGAACUCGUUGCCUCAGUAUGGGGAGUGUUGGUCCAUCAAAGGGUAAUGCUCCACAGACCAAAACAUAAAGAACUACACCCAUGCUCUGUAAGACAAAGAACAUUAAUUUAAUUUUUCAAGCUACAAGCAAAGUCUCUGAGGCUGGCUAGCCAAAUCCUGUCACAGAAAAAAUUAAAAUUAUGUUCUGCAGGAAGAGGAAAUUUAUACAAAAGAGAGUUAGGUUUGUGAAGAUACCUAAACAUUAAGAACACUCAGCUAACCCAAAAUGGCUAGGCUUGCAGUACCUUGUGCUGAUAAGCAGGUAAGCUGAAGUGUAAUGGGUUAGAGACUCUGGCUGCUAGCAGGAAGCUCCACACGGAUGACUGAAUGAUACCUGAAAAGCGAGCCCCAACUUCAGGCUGAACAACCCCAACUCUCUCAGCCUGUCCUCAGAGAGGUGUUCCACCCCUCUGAUCAUUUUUAUGGCUCCUUCUGCAACUAUUUCCACAGACUAGAACUACAGGGCUUAUCUGAUAUCAAAUAUGCUGAAGUGAUCCUAGUGACAAAUGAGGAGCUGCAGCCCACAGCUUACGUUUGGAAGAAACAAAUGGAAGAACGCCUUUGGACUUCAGCAAACUGCUUGGUUAAGGGGCUCUGGGGCAUAAAUACCUUCAAAAAUGUUAUAUUUCAUGAUUUAUCUUUAUAAUAGAUUUGAUUUAGAAUCAUCUUCUAGGGCAGCAUAGUAGUAUUGGGUGGAUUGAUUAAAAUCUGAGCUCAAUUAAAAUUGAGGCCUUUUAAAAUGAUAAACGCUAGUUCAAAUACAAAUGAUUGAGUUUGCUUGAAACAGCAAUUAAAUCAGAUCUACAAUCACUCUAGCUUUUUAGAGAUUUAGGUAUCUGUGCUGACUGCUAAUGAUGAGCUGUCUUUUCUGUGAUGACACAGGAUACUCUUAUCUCUCAUCUAUUUUUGCAUUGCCAACAGACUGGAAGCUUAAAAGACGGACAAAUAUUUAAGCUUCACUCUACCCUUUUAACCCAGUGCCCCUAAAUUAAUAUUUUAUUCCAGAUAAUUAACAUACGUCGUUACUUGAGAACAUCAUACACUACUGUAAAUAUCUGGUAUGGGUGGAACCCUCAAGAGGCAAAAUCUCCAGCAGCAGUCUACGGUCACUGUAUUAGCUAAAAGUCAGAAAAUCAGAUACCCAGUUCUCACAGCAAUGAACUUUUGGGACUUGUCCGUAAUCAAAGAAGAGCUCCACUGCCUAUCAGUAAGAAGGCUACAAUGACGGAAAAGACUAUCUGAAGGUCAAACCACAUGCAAGAUCCGUAACAGUGACAUGCUCUGCAAGCACACAGAAUGCCCGACAGUUGCGUGAACAGUUACGCAACAGCAUCCUGGCACAUCGCCAUACUCUGGAGGUGCAAACGAUCAAGGUCAGCUCAGAUUCUAAAUCUACAUAGGAAACACUGAAUAUAACGAUCGUGCCAUCCUUCCUUUUAUGUUCUGAAACAACUGCAACUUCAGCUGUAAUAACAAAGGGGGAAAAAACAAAAUCUUCUACCAAAAAAUCUCUCAAUCCCUUUGUGUCACCUGCCUUUUUCCUAUCACAGCUGGACUUCUGUUAUGAAUUUUUUUAUUCUCUUUGAGGAGACUUUUCUUCACAGACAAUCAGCUUGGCAACCUUGACAAUACUAAAGGAAACAUGAAGCAAUUUCUUCUCUCAGAAUCUUUUGCCAUCUGUGUAGGUGUCAGUAAAUCUGAUCUCUCCCUUCACUUAUCUUGAAUUUAUCAGAUUUUCAACAUCCUCUUAGUACUGCAGAUAAAUAUCAAUCUUUAUCUCUGAACUGCAGCUCCUAUUCAGGUGCCACCCUCAUAAAUCUUUGUAUCAGAUUCACAAGUACAUGUACGUAUAUUUGUAAGCACAGCUAUAGAAAGCAUAACUUGCUUGGAAAUACACAAGAUUUCAAUUCCUAAGAAAGUGAAGCUCUUUGCCUAUCUAGACUGGAUUUAAAUUAGCUGUUUGGUGAACGUGAACAUGUAGAAGCCACUUCAAAAAGAAACAUGAAAAAAUCUGAACAGCAAAAGACAGAACAGGCUUUAAGUGCGACUGAUCAAUAUAAAGGAAGUUUCAGCUUUAUGUUGCAGUUAGUAUUUUUGAAUUUAACUAUUAUCCUUACAUGCUUAAUUUCAUAACAUAUAGUUUUAUUUAUGGUUACCAAAUGUAGCUCAAGAGCAAGCACAUCUUAGAACUGAAAAGCAUGAUCCUUGCAGAGCUGUUACCUUUGCUCCCUAUCUGAGCAACAGAAUUACAGAACUUACACUGUUGGAGAGGGUGCUUGAGUGGGUGGAACAGCAGCAAUUGGCUUACAUCUGAUGGUCUUGUGACAGCGCAGAUGGUUAAGUUUUAUUAAGUAAAUCCAUCAAUGAAAGGUCUAAAAAUUCAUAGUAGAAGGAAUAGCCAAGGAUGCGUUCUGUAUAAGCACUAAUACAACAAUUCAGGCUGCUGGAGUUUGGGGGUAGGGGCAAGCACAAGGAAUUAGGCUGCAGAAAAUGGCCAGCCUGAUAUACGCUCCCUGUCACUGCUAGAUGGGUCUGACCCAGUAUGGAACUCCUCAUGGAUCUGGUCUAGCGGUAUGUGUCUUUUAAACCUGGCAAACGGUUCCUUCAUUCUUUGAUCUGCAGUCCUAAAACUUAGAUUUCUUCCCUUUUUCAUGGGCAAGGAACACCAGUAUCCUUUAGUUAUAGGUUUCUGCUGAAAAAACAGCAUGCAUUGACAAUACUAAGCACAGUAAGAGCCAGACACCUACUAAUUCAUACUGGACUUUUUUAUGUAACAUAGGACUUAAAAAGAGUGUUGCUUAUUUCAGCAAUCUGCUCUUAUCUUUAGAAAUGCAACUACAUUCUAUUGUUGGACAAAAUAAUUACCUGUGCAGGGAGAUCAGCAUUAUUUAUUAGGGUACAUAAGUUAUUAUGGUUAGCUCUUUUUGUUUCCAUUAUGCUUUCUAUACUUGUCUCUUCAAAUUAUGGUAAACCAUUUCUUAAGAACUCAAGAACUAAUUGCAUUCAUGAAAACCAUUUCAAAGAAAAAGUCUAUGAUUUAGGUAGGAUACUGGAAGCUUGGGCUUCCUCAGUUUUUAAUUAUUGCACUGUCAGUUUAGUUGUCCCACUUUUUGGAGUGUGAGAAUGGCCAGGAUUCAAUUAAGCACAAAACAAUCACUAGUCUCUCAUUCUCUCUCUUCCACCACCUCCCCUUGUUUCUACUUUGCAAUCGCUGAUCUACCAUAAUCAUAACGGAUCAAAGGUAAUAGUUUUUAACUUAAGAACACUGCUGAGAUAUCUCAUUCCAGAGAAACUGAUUUUAAGAACACUACUAAUGUUUAAGGGAAAAAUGUGCCAGCCCUCAAAAAAACAUAUGCCAGCCACAGAAUUUUAAAAGGACUGAAAUUGGACUCAUUACUAGAGGACUGAGAUUAUAUAGUCAUGGAAUCAUAGAAUGGUUUGGGUUGGAAGGGACCUUAAAGAUCAUCUAGUUCUAAGCCCCCUGCCAUGGGCAGGGACACCUUCCACUAGACCUGAUUAGUCAAAAUCCCAUCCAACCUGGCGUUGAACGCUUCCCAAGGACGGGGCAUAACCGAGUGAUCGCUGUCUUCUUAACAUUUGCCUGAAUCUGCACAUGAAAAAGUAUGAUCAUUUGCAGCAUUGUGUUCAGUUCAAUAAACUCUGUGUUUGUGCAAUCUGCAAAUAUUGGCUCUCAACUUUUGCAGUAUUUUGUUUCUUAACCUCAUUACCCCCUUUAGAAUAAUCUUGAAUUUAGAAGGUAUAAUUUUUUGAACAUACAUCAUUUAAAGGGAAGCUGUUUUCCUGUUAAAAAUGGAAACAGACCAAGAUUUCAGACCCAUUUGCAAUUUGAGAAAGGGAAGCUCCCUUUAAGAGCCACUGCAACUUCUGCUGUGCAUCUAGCAAUAUGACGUAGUCUCUAAUUUGUACCUCUAAAAAUCCUUUAGAAGGGAUACUACCUUCAGAGCUAUAAUUAAUCCAUUCUUCUAAAAUUACCAACAGAAUUCUAUCUGCUUGGCUUCACAGUGCCACGUGGAUCUUUUGUUAUAAUAAUGAUAUGAGCAAAGGAGAUAACUGGGAGAGACGUACAGAUAAAGGAAAGGUGUGAGUGUGUUAGAAACAAACCUGACCCACUUCAUGAACUGAAUGCUGAUCAGCCAGUUCUGACGUCAAUGCAUAUUUUACUGUCCACCAGCAAGACAAACCAGCACUAUAACCUACUUCAAAAUAACAGUCUCUCCUACCUGAUCUGGUUCAAACACAGUAGCUUUACCAUCAAGAUGGCAUGAUUUCUGCAGACAUCUAUAAGGCAUCUUAAUCUGGCAGUUUUGUGGGGCUGGAAGUAUACAGAGAGAAGCUCACUAUUCCAUCCUCAAUUCAAAGCUGUAUUUAAUUUUCACAAAUGCACAGACGUUUCACUGUACAGACAACCAGCAAGUUUUAUCUGAUGACAGCAUAGCAUAUCAGUGAUGAGUAACUGAAAUCCAGCCCCUAUGACCCCUUCGAAAAACAGCAAAAUGUAAAGGCUACAUGAACAAUCCAGUCAUCUACAGACAAUAACUUUAAGAAGAACAAAGGUGGUUUACAUUGCUAGUGCUGAAAACAAAUUUAAUGUCAAACCUGAUGAAGACUGCCUGGUAUGGCGUUCUUCAGCUGCAACCAUCUCAGUGGACAUUUUAUCUGAUUAAUACUUUCUUUUAUGCUACUUAUGCUAAAAUAUAAGUUUGAGGCUUUUGCUCCCAACUACCUAACGUCUUCUAGAAAAUAACAGUCUAUCAAAGCUCUCACCUCAAGAUCUUUACACAUCAUCUGCUUCUUGUCCAGUUACUAAGACUGAAAAGAAAGAUCCUUGGAAUUCUAACAUUUUCCUUUUAGAGCAGUAUUAACGCAAAACUAUUAAAUUUCAGUCCAGCUUCCUUGUUUUGAGCAUAAAAGGUGGCAGUCUCAUCAGCUCAGUUUUAGGAACACUUAUUUUGAAUCUUAGUUUAUUCUCCUGGAAGCUGAAAUACAGAGGUAAGUUUUAUGCAUGUUUUUGUAUUUGAAAAAAAAAAAAGUCGUAUUCUUCAGUCAUAGAAACAUCAGAAUGAAUCAAGAGGUCCACUGGAAGUUAGGAAGAGCCUGGAAUGCCCACGAGUAUCUACGUGGAUUUCAGAGCUGCUUGGAGUGAUCAGCAAGGGACGGCCUGCACAUAGUGCUGGGGCCCAGUGCAGACACUGACACUGCAGAGCUUUGUAUCAAAAUAAUUAAUCAGUUACUGUGUUGUUUUUCAGUUGCUAGAUUAUUUCAAAUGAGAGAGUAAUUCUAGCUAUCAGAGUUGGGGUCCUGGCUGCCCUUUGUUCUUCCACAGUUUGAUAAAUGAAUCAUGAAGAAUAUGAACCACUGGAAGAGACUGUUCUCAGGGAUCUGUACAGCACCAGGUUAACUCCAUAAUCACAGAUAAACCGUUCGGUGGAACUCAUGGUCAAUCUCCUUUACAGAGAAAAAUAAAUUGACUGACUCAGCUGAAAUCACUACAAAGUUUCUAGCAGUCAUAACUUGCCUCCAGCUACUUUAUCACCAAAGCUCACACAAGAACUGCUAUCAAUCUGAUAAAGCUUGACAAAGAUACAUGGAAGCAUCAGACGAUAUGAAUCACUGCCACUUAAUGUGAUCAUUUACAUACAGACCACCUGUAAUUAACUUUCUGUAAUACAGAGGUAGAGCACAAGAGCAGCUAAGAGGAAGAAAGAGACAGCAGCAGCUGAUGGAAUCUAGUAACUACCAUUUAUCAAUGCUUUCAUUGGAGUCCCUGGAGAACCUACGCAUUGAAAUUCCCUGCAACAGAACAGUUCACAUCUCUAACCUUUCUUUGGUUAACGGGUUUCCUGAGAUGGCUUUGAAGUAGUGGUUUUGUAAGCCUGUGGGUCAAGUUUGCACUGCAGUGUUCAGGGAGGCAGGGAACAUGCAUCCCCACAGCGUUAAGGACAUCCAUGAAAGGAAUUCCUCUGAAUAUGGCCCCACUCCAGCGCAGCUGAGGCCCUGAGGAGUUCUGAAAAAACUACACCAGGCUGAACGUGACAAACUACAGUACAGAACACUGAUGUGGAGGAAAAGGAAUUAGAAGGGAUAGUAUGUGGUGGUGAAAAUGGGGAGAAGAGCAGCCGUUCAGAAGGCAAGGAAAGAAAGCAUACAUGAACAAUAGCACAAACAUUCCCUUAUAUUUAGCUCAGUUACUCAUAGUAAGCGGGGUCCCUGUGACUUGCAGCCCUUAGACACAGUAUUUACUGAAGCCAUACAUUGUCCUGGUAAAUCCAGUUGUAUGUCAACCAUAAAUCUCCAGGUGCUAUGACUGUCAGUAGGUACUAGAAAUAAAUGCAAGUUUGAAAUCAGAAAUGAGAAAAGUAAAAAUACUCUACAGACGGUAGUGCUGAUGAACCCACUAGAUUAAAGCUCAAAGUACCAAACCCCUUUCACUGUCAAAUUCACAGCCUUAUUACCAACAGCUGUGAGCAAACUGUGCAGGCAGCCCUAUUGGUUUUCAGAAUUUUGAGACAUCACCACCAAUUCAAUCUCAAUGUUACUAGUUAUUAUACCUGGGCCACUUCGUUAUAAAGUCCAGACAUCAUCUCCAUCCCAAACUGUUUCUUUAGCUUUCUUCAGGUAUCAAAUGCCCUAAAUAAGAACUUAAAUCAGAACUGCAUCUUCCUGCUACAACAGCUACAACCCGCUUUUACUUCAUCUGAUGGUAGCUUUUAGUAUUUUUACAGUUUAACGUUAAUACAAAAGUGCACAGAGUAUAGAGAAAAUUAAAAGACAACGACAAACAGUUUGAUAUCAAAUGAAAUGAAAAAGAGGCUACUGCACAGACUCUGCUAUUAAUUUAUAUAAAGCGUUAAAUAACAAUUUUUACAGCUCCUAUGAACCUGCUGUAAAAUUCCCACUCUGAGAUGCUAAAGAGCCAUGAAAUACAGAGAACAUGCCAAAGAGCAGAUUAAUAGGCUUCCGUCUCUAGCUUCAGAGAAUCUGUUUUCCACACAGUUCCAUCUGCCAAAAAUCCCCACCUUACAUUCAUAUUUGAUAACAAACAGUAGCCUAAUACUCUGAAAAUCGUUGUUCUGGAACUCAUAUAGCUGAAUUUUCCUUUUCCUCGAUGUUAAUUUAAUUUAUCCAUUACCCAACCUUUCUGUAAACUCUUAAACCAUGUGAAAAAGAUGCUAGAGGUGGAAAAGUGGUAAAGGAGUGAAGGAAUGAAUGUUUUAUAUUUUGUUUAAGACAAAAAACAAAGGUCAAUGCAAAAGCAACAAACACAUCCAGGAACUGGGAAAGCUACUCCAUUAAUACAUACAUUGAUAAGAAAUCCUUCGUAAUCCAUCAGUAAAAUCCCAUUUCAUAGGCAAAGAUAACCUAUGUUGUUUUUUUGGGGGGUGGGGUUGAUAGCAAUGACUAUGAGUUCAUCUUCUCUAAGUUUCAGAGGAUAAAAUUCUUGCUCAGGAAAUAGUUUUCAUCUCAAAGGUGAGUGCUCAUUUUAAAUGAUUGUGUAGAUUUCCUGUUCUGUUAAAGAUGACUCGAAAGGAUUUAAAAGAUCUUUCCUGAGGGUGAAGUUAAUCCUCAGAAUUAAUUGCCUAGUCUUCCUAAUUUUGCUGUAGUAUUGCAGAGAAAAGGGUGACUCUCUGUGACACAGAUGUUAACCAGUUAAACAGGUAUUACCUUUUCCUUUAAAGACCUUUAAGGGCACUGUCUUCAUACUCCAUAGACAAAAAGGUGAGCAGCUUUUAGAGAGCUGCUGGCACAUUUAAUGCUUUUCUGCAAUUUUAUUCUUAUAGAAAGCAUCAGAGAUGAAGAGACAUUUUCAGUUCAUCCAUUUCAGAAAUGCCAGAGAGGAGAUUCAAGGGUAGAAUAAUCCAGCAGCGAUCUACAACUCAGAAAUGUUUUAUUACUUUACCUUUCUCAGACUGAUUGGCUAUCUAUUCACCUUUCCUUCUCAGAACUAGCAAGCUUACUCCUAUAGAAACCAACUUCUUACAGCAGUUAACCUUCCUUUCCUGCUCAUGUAUUAUUGAUGACUGAAGUUCAACAGUCCUCCAAAUAAAGAUGUUAUCUAGCUUUCCCACUUCAGGUGUCACUGGGCUAAAGUUAGUAUAGAACGAUUCAUAGAAUUGUAAUGAAUUGACAACCGACAAAAUGAUUUCCAGUACUAGCAACAUCUGCUGUGUCUAAAUUUAUAAUUAAAAUUAAAUCAUGCAUGCAAAAAGAAAAAAAUCAAUAAGCUUCCAUUUUGAGUUUUUCUCACGUUGAAAGAAGUUAUUUGAUUAACUCUGUUUUAACCUGAACAUCUGGCAGCAUCGUAGACACCCACAAAAAAUUACUGUAACUCUAAAAAUUAUUUCCUUUUUCCUAAAAGUGUAAUAGAACUCAUCUGGGAAAUUUUAGCUACAUGUACUGUGAUAUCCAUAAUGCAAAAGUAUUACAUGCAUUACCACUCUGAUUUUCUGUACCUUAAGCACAGCAGGAUAUCUUGGGCAGCAGCAACUGAUUUACUGGAACUGCCUUCAUGAAAAUAAGGUGUUACUGAGUGUCAUCUACAUUCUGAGUACCUGCUAUUUUGAUGUUCAUGUUAUUGUCAAGCAGAAGAUUUUCAGCCUUCAGGUCACGGUGAACAAUCUUUCGACCAUGGCAAUACUCCACUGCUGAGAGGAUCUGCCAGAAUUUGCGCCUGGCCUCAGCCUCACUUAGACGGCCAUGGCUGGCAAGGUAAUC